rnacentral:lncRNA from 1 species
CCCCCGCGCUACUUUUUAGUAGCCUACCGAAGCGCUAACAACAUGGAACAACUUGGAGUUAUUUGGACAUCAAUUAUGAACUUUGUCAAAAGAAACCACAUUUGUAGUGGACCUGGGAUUUCUAGAAGUGCCAAUGGAUGAAGAUAAUCAAAGGAAGUUCUGGUUUAGAUGCAAUCCCAGUGGUGCAUGGCAUGCUCUGCUUUUGUCAUGGUGGACUCCUGAUACUUCAUCUGAACUGCUUCUAGUGUUGGGGAGUGGUGAACUACAUGUAGUUCAACUGGUAAUUUAAGUAGAUUUUGCAGUAGCUGGUGGUAGUUAAACUAAAUUCAAAUCUUGUUAGUGUUUUCAGUAGUUAAACUACUGGAACUACAUAAUACUUUUUGAGCUAAAAUAAAGUGUG